GAGCGGUGGUUUCUUCAUAGAGCAGC
rnacentral:piRNA from 1 species